UGAGGUAUGGCUCAGUAGUAGAGUGCUUGCCUACUAUGUGUAAGACUCUGGGUUUAAUCCCCAGCCUCUCAA
rnacentral:tRNA from 1 species